GGCCACCGUACACUCACCUGAUAUAUCAUGUCCAAACUGAACAACCAGCGUGACAAAACAUUUACACAUUCACGUUCAUUUUGGAGAAUACUGAACGCUUUUUUUUAGCGCCACUUACUGGACAGUGCGAUUUGAAAGAAACUUGCGAGAAGCAACGUAAUCGUUUUGUAUUAAUGUCAUCGCAGUCAUGUGUUUCUAGUGAGCCUGGAUUGAAAAAAACAAAACAAAAAACACACAGAUGAAUAUUGAUAUUAAUCAACGCCGUAUUUAACACAAAAGGAGAUCUAACGUUGUAUUUUCCACACAAGAGAAGUGUUUCCAAAGCAUUUUCGUGCGUUGAGUUUCUGCUGUUGCAUCGGUUGCGCUUCAGCUGCACAUCAACGCGGCAGGUCUCGGGACAUCACGAAAGUUUCUACACCUGUGAUAUGACAUCUGACCCCUGCCCUUUGCCCCUGCAGUCUGAGGAUGAAAAUCUCAGCUGCACAGUGCGGUGUCCUUCGAUUUUCUCUCUCGGGUGCAUGUCCUCUCCGCUCCUCCUCCAGAGGGGAGCGGCUGGCCUCCAGGGAGCUCUGUAUACAGCCUCUUAUAGACGUCUUUCAGCACAUCUUCUAACGGCUCCUACAUAUGAGACUAAUGACUCAAAUUAAUAGCAAGCUGCAGUGUAUUUCCGACUCUGCCAAGAGCCCUUGUUCUGUACUUCCCUUGCAUAGUUUGCACCAGGAGUUACUACUGUGAAAUCAUAAUAAAUGAAUUAGGAAUCUCCUUCAAACAAAGCUUUUUGAUGACAUUGUUGGCCAGUCCCAAGUUGCUGUAUUUCUGUUGUUAUGAUAACAGUAGUAAAUAUGGUAUUUGCACAGAAACUAUGGCUACUAGGGUCAGUUUUUGUAAGGAUCACUAUACGUUUAUGGGUUUUAUCUCCUUUUUGUUUAUUUAAACUUUUUUUUAAUUGCCUCUACUUACUUUUUUGGCCAAAAACGUACCUAUACGAUCACUAUACGUUUAUGGGUUUUAUCUCCUUUUUGUUUAUUUAAACUUUUUUUUUAAUUGCCUCUACUUACUUUUUUUGGCCAAAAACGUACCUAUAUAUACAAUUCACUGCAGUUUCCAGCUGAAAUGAGCAGUAAAAACUUGAUUACAUGAUUACAGGGGCAGAUUAUUCAUUAAGAAUCAUUUUUCACGCAAUACUGUUAUGACCUCAAAACAUUUACAUAAUUAGUAAACCAUUACAGUUUGCUUUUGUUAUUGGUUAGAUUUACUGUAGUAUUUAGUAUGGUAUGUUGUUUAUAAGCAUGACUGACUGGAUGCUUGCUGAUUUGCCAUGAUACGUACAUGACAUGAAUAAAACAUGCUAGAUUCACA
rnacentral:lncRNA from 1 species